GCACGCUUUUAAUGAUAUAAUUUUUUCAUUGUUUAAGAUGGACCUUCCCUGCGCGCUGUAAUUAUGCAGAAGCGCGGCAAGCACCGAAAUAUUUGGUUAUAAGUUAAACUUCCCUCUCGAAUGAAAAAGAAGAGUUAAACAUUAGGAUUGAAAGAGUGAUCAGUCCUAAAUCUCAGCUCUCUCUCUCUCUAACUGUCCUCUCGAUCCGCCGAAAGCCCAAGCGAUAUUCAGAAGUCCGACGCCGACUCAAGGACCGAUGAUGCUUCUGGUCGAUGACGGUGACGAGGAGCGUAGCGAUGUGAGCUCGUCGGUGUCGUAUAAGCAUCGGAAAGGCAGGGUAUCACCAAGGCUGCGACAGGCCUGUUCUCUAUGUCGGCCAGAAGAGAUCGGAAAUCAGGGAUUGAAGAAGAACCUCCUCAAUGAAAGUGAAGGAUUCGGAAACCCCGAAGAGCGGUCACGAGGUUGAAGUACAUUACACUAUUUGAUUUGAGCGGCGCUACGGGUACGCCUUUGAAGUUCACUCUCGGAAAAGGUGAACUGUUGAAUUGAGCUUCUGAGUGGAGUUGAUGCUACCCUACCACAGCUUCGUUUUUGAUGACUUCCACGCUUUCCAUCACUCGCCACAGUUAUGGUUGGCUUCCAGAAGUAAAUGUCUGGACAUGAUAUGGCUAAUGGCUGCAAUAUUGGGGUGACCCUGGAACAACUGGACAUGAUAUGGCUAAUGGCUGCACUGUUGGUGUGACCCUGGAACAAUUGCAAUAUUACUUUGUCUAAACUUAGUUUAUCUGUUAAUAAUUCGGGGGGUUUUCGUGCAGGACAGUAAGCGUAGAUGAGUAGUCUAGUUUUGCUUGGAAGAGAAUGAGAGCUUGCAUUUUCAAUUUAUGAGGUAUUUGAUAUGACUGCUUUUGAUAUCUCCUUUUGUUUUGGCACUGAUCCAGCAUCUUCAUCACAUUAGUUACUUGAUAUAUAUAGUUUCAUAAUUGCAGGGGUUAAUUGAGGAGUGGCUCCAAUGUUGACAGCAAUAUGUUUGGCUCCAUCAUUUCUGGCAACAGAUUGAGUUCAUAUGUUUGUUUUAGUGUAUAGGUUGAAAGCUGGAAUGCAGUUUUCUAUAGAUUAGGAUCAAUAGGUAUUGUUAUUAUAUAUGAAUUCUUACACUUCAAUAGUUUUGUAAUUGAAGUGGAUUAUUAACAUUCAAUUAAGUGUUUCUUUCUUUGUUC